rnacentral:rRNA from 1 species
CAGUAGCCGCAGUAAUACGUAGGUGGCAAGCGUUGUCCGGAAUUAUUGGGCGUAAAGCGCGCGCAGGUGGUUUAAUAAGUCUGAUGUGAAAGCCCACGGCUCAACCGUGGAGGGUCAUUGGAAACUGUUAAACUUGAGUGCAGGAGAGAAAAGUGGAAUUCCUAGUGUAGCGGUGAAAUGCGUAGAGAUUAGGAGGAACACCAGUGGCGAAGGCGGCUUUUUGGCCUGUAACUGACACUGAGGCGCGAAAGCGUGGGGAGCAAACAGGAUUAGAUACCCCAGUAGUCCCUGUCUCUUAUAC